UACGUAGGAGACGAGCGUUGUCCGGAGUUACUGGGCGUAAAGGGUGCGCAGGUGGCGGCGCGCGUGGGGGGUGAAAUCGCCCGGCUUAACUGGGCGGGGGCCUUCCAGACGGCGUGGCUUGAGCAGCGGAGGGGGACGUGGAAUUCCGGGUGGAGCGGUGAAAUGCGUAGAGAUCCGGAGGAACCCCAGAGGCGAAGGCGGCAGCCUGGUUGGCUCCUGACGCUCGGACACGACAGCAUGGGGAGCGAACGGG
rnacentral:rRNA from 1 species